AUACCUUUCUCGGCCUUUUGGCUAAGAUCAAGUGUAGUAUCUGUUCUUAUCAGUUUAAUAUCUGAUACGUGGGCUAUCGUCUCACAUGAUAUUAAAUUAAUUUUUUUAGGGGAGUGGCCCAUUACAGUAGCUUGCUAUUGGGGCUGUUCAAGCGUUGCACUUUUGCUUGGGCCUGGCGCAUCCACC